rnacentral:rRNA from 1 species
UACGUAGGUGGCAAGCGUUGUCCGGAUUUACUGGGCUUAAAGAGCGCGCAGGCGGUCGGGUAAGUCGGAUGUGAAAGCCCCCGGCUCAACUGGGGAGGGUCAUUCGAUACUGUUCGACUCGAAGGCAGGAGAGGGAAGUGGAAUUCCCGGUGUAGUGGUGAAAUGCGUAGAUAUCGGGAGGAACACCAGUGGCGAAGGCGACUUCCUGGCCUGUUCUUGACGCUGAGGCGCGAAAGCUAGGGGAGCAAACGGG